CUGAAUUUGGCCGACGCAAAGGGGUCUAGAGAGACUAAGAUUGUUCCUGGGCGCCUCCCUCUAGGUUUGGGUUUAGAUUGGCUAUGGGAGAGUCUGAUCCUUACCCAAAAAACGAUCGCUGUGACUGGAUUGGAGUUGGGGCUAAGGGUGGGGGAGAAAUUGGAUUGUUUUAUCUCCUAAUAAAUAAACUAGAAAGCAGGCGGAAACGUGCGGGCAACGCGUGGGGAGCCCUGGUUCUGGCCCUGGCAUAAUCUGCCUAGAGCUCGUGGAUGGAAAGAACCUGAGGCCGCCCAGCGAGAGACUUUGAUGUCCGGAUUGCAUUUCCAUUUCAGAGUUUCGGCCACUUUCUCCAAAGCCCCAGUUGUCUGAAAGGGACCUUUUCGGCUCCUCCACCUCCACCGCAGAGCAAAGAGGGCUGAAAGGAUGUGAUAGCCCCAAAACACACACACACACACACACACACAUACAAAAUCAAUACAUGGAGGGGGUGUAGUUAUGCUCUCAGUGAAAAAUGGAGGAAGAAUAAAAGGAGGAAAAUGAGGGCAAUAGAAUAGACUGAUAUUUCAAUGUACAAUAGAAAUAAAAAGCCUCGGAGCGAGAUUUUCAAAGAAAAGGGCGGGAGAUGGGGAAAGAAUUUGGUGUAGGAAAGCUAAAAAGCCCUUGAUGCAAACAAGAGCAAGCGCUCUCAGAUCCGUGUACAAAAGGAAUCCUGGAAUGAGAGUCGGCCCGAUUUGUCCUUUUGGAGGGACCUUUCCCAGGCACAACCCUGUAAGACCCCAGAAAGACCGACCUAAGCCUCGUGGGCCCACCUCUGCCCUCUGCAGCCUGGGCUUAUCUGGCCUAAGAGGGCCCAGGGUCAGAGCCAGUAUCAGCAGGGUUCUCUAGGUUUAGCUCCCCGGGCUUUCUUGGGGUCACUCCCUUUUAGUGUGGAACGUAAAAUUGCCGCAUAUGUCAAAGAAAAAAAUUAACACCAAUUAACUGAUUUUUGGAAAAAGCCCCCCUCUUCCUUACCGAUCUCCAGACAUGGGUUUCUAUGCCCAGUUGACCUCAUUAAUAGAGUCACCAGAGUCACCCCGUUCCAGAGCGCAUCUCCAUGGAAUUGAGCCAAGUUCCCUUUCAGCCACGGCCUCCCUGAGGAGAAGAGACAGCACGGAGGCGGUGGCCACGCAGUAGCACCAGGCUACGGACCUACUGGAUCCCUCAAACCUGACAGCAAAUGCCAAAUCUGUACUGAGAUUCGGCCCACUGGCCACCUCCCUUCUCCCGAUAUGGAGAAGAUGGUUUUUGACGAUGGAGAGCGCCCUGGUGUUGGGACAUGAUGCGGCCAAAAUUUAGCAACGAGAGGAGAGGGAACCAAAGUCUCCUUCAUCAAGAAGACCAGCCAGCAAAGAUGUGGUGCCCCCACCCCCGACUUGGGGGUGUGGGAAGGCUGGAGGAGGGGAAAGUUCAGGGCCAAGGGCGUUGAAAGCAUCUGGAGACGGGUCCGCAUACUCUGAGCGAUUCCCGGUCCUUUUGCUGGGUUCCCCGAGACGUUCCGCGCCUGAAACCGACUCCACGACGGGGGCGCGCCGGGAGCCGCGAGGGAGGUGGCAGUGCAAGAGCCUUUGGCGGGUGGGCGGCCGAAAGUGAAGCCCGGUUAGUUAAUUAACUUUAAGCCUGGGGUCGCUUCUCUCUCCUCCCCCCCAAAAAAUGUGGAUCUCGCUGAGACACAAAUAAAACCAAAUUAAACACUCCAGGAGAAGAUGCACCACUGGAAACGUAGUAAUUACAUCUCCGAGGCGAACCCGCCCUAGGAAGCCAGGCGCUGAAACCCGCGGCCCA